rnacentral:rRNA from 1 species
CCUACGGGGGGCUGCAGUGGGGAAUAUUGGACAAUGGGGGGAACCCUGAUCCAGCGACGCCGCGUGAGUGAAGAAGUAUUUCGGUAUGUAAAGCUCUAUCAGCAGGGAAGAAAGGAAUGACGGUCCCUGACUAAGAAGCCCCGGCUAACUACGUGCCAGCAGCCGCGGUAAUACGUAGGGGGCAAGCGUUAUCCGGAUUUACGGGGUGUAAAGGGAGCGUAGACGGUUACGCAAGUCUGGAGUGAAAGGCGGGGGCCCAACCCCCGGACUGCUUUGGAAACUGUAGAACUGGAGUGAAGGAGAGGUAAGUGGAAUUCCUAGUGUAGCGGUGAAAUGCGUAGAUAUUAGGAGGAACACCAGUGGCGAAGGCGGCUUACUGGACUGUAACUGACGUUGAGGCUCGAAAGCGUGGGGAGCAAACAGGAUUAGAUACCCUUGUAGUC